rnacentral:lncRNA from 1 species
AGGAAGGAGAAGCUUGGAGCUCGGAAGUUGCCGGAUUAACUCAGGUAAGGGGGGUUUAUCAUCAAUUAACGGGUAUUAUGGGACGAUAUGUACUGGGUAGUGAUAGACCAUUGUUUUACCUAUGAUUGGAUAAUAUAUGUUGAAUUGUGAACUGUUGGGAUGAACGAAAAUUGGAAUAUAAUUGAAGAAUUCGUAGGAAUUUAGUGUGGAAAUGUUAGACCUUGUGGAAUCGAAUAGGAUCUGUUUUGAGUUAGACAAUAGGAAGGAAUUUUGUGUGAAAAUU